rnacentral:lncRNA from 1 species
CUCUUUCUGUCCUCUGGAAGUGAUGAAAAGAUCACAUGAUGAGUAGGCUCGGCGACCCAGGACCCUCGUAAGUCGGAGAAGGCAUCGGACACAUCCUUAAGCAAUCAUGUCUGUGAUCAUGCUGCUGAAAUAAGGAGAUUCUGAAAGACCAGCAGACUGAGAGACAGCUGAGAUGGAGCCAUGGCUAUUUGUCUCUAGGUAAGAUAUCC